rnacentral:rRNA from 1 species
ACAGAGAGCUUGCUCUCGGGUGACGAGCGGCGGACGGGUGAGAAUAGUCUGGGAAACUGCCUGAUGGAGGGGGAUAACUACUGGAAACGGUAGCUAAUACCGCAUAACGUCGCAAGACCAAAGUGGGGGACCUUCGGGCCUCAUGCCAUCAGAUGUGCCCAGAUGGGAUUAGCUAGUAGGUGGGGUAACGGCUCACCUAGGCGACGAUCCCUAGCUGGUCUGAGAGGAUGACCAGCCACACUGGAACUGAGACACGGUCCAGACUCCUACGGGAGGCAGCAGUGGGGAAUAUUGCACAAUGGGCGCAAGCCUGAUGCAGCCAUGCCGCGUGUGUGAAGAAGGCCUUCGGGUUGUAAAGUACUUUCAGCGGGGAGGAAGGCGAUAAGGUUAAUAACCUUGUCGAUUGACGUUACCCGCAGAAGAAGCACCGGCUAACUCCGUGCCAGCAGCCGCGGUAAUACGGAGGGUGCAAGCGUUAAUCGGAAUUACUGGGCGUAAAGCGCACGCAGGCGGUCUGUCAAGUCGGAUGUGAAAUCCCCGGGCUCAACCUGGGAACUGCAUUCGAAACUGGCAGGCUAGAGUCUUGUAGAGGGGGGUAGAAUUCCAGGUGUAGCGGUGAAAUGCGUAGAGAUC